CUGCUCACUUUGGCAGCACAUAUACUAAAAUUGGGACGAUACAGAGAAGAUUAGCAUGGUCCCUGCACAAGGAUGACAGGCAAAUUCGUGAAGCAUUCCAUAUUUUA
ensembl:snRNA U6 U6 spliceosomal RNA